rnacentral:rRNA from 1 species
GACGAACGCUGGCGGCGUGCUUAACACAUGCAAGUCGAGCGGUAAGGCCCUUUCGGGGGUACGACGAGCGGCGAACGGGUGAGUAACACGUGGGUGACCUGCCCUCAGCUCUGGGAUAAGCCUGGGAAACCGGGUCUAAUACCGGAUAUGACUCCAUGACGCAUGUUGUGGGGUGGAAAGCCUUGUGCGGCUGAGGAUGGGCCCGCGGCCUAUCAGCUUGUUGGUGGGGUGAUGGCCUACCAAGGCUCCGACGGGUAGCUGGUCUGAGAGGACGAUCAGCCACACUGGCACUGCGACACGGGCCAGACUCCUACGGGAGGCAGCAGUGAGGAAUAUUGCGCAAUGGGCGAAAGCCUGACGCAGCGACGCCGCGUGGGGGAU